rnacentral:tRNA from 2 species
GGGAGUAUAGCUCAAUUGGCAGAGCAACUGACUCUUAAUCAGCAGGUUCCAGGUUCGAGUCCUGGUACUCCCACCA